UGGCACUGCGAUGCAUAGNUNUAAUUGAUCAUGGCUCAGAACACGCUGUUANGCGUGCCUAACACAUGCAAGUCGAACGAGAAAGUGGAGCAAUCCAUGAGUAAAGUGGCGAACGGGUGAGUAACACGUGACUACCUACCCUUGAGUGGGGGAUAACCCCGGGAAACCGGGGCUAAUACCGCAUAAUCUCGCAAGAGCAAAUGCGCAAGCAGCUUAAGGAAGGGGUCGCGGCUGAUUAGCUAGUUGGUUGANGUAACGGCUCACCAAGCGAUGAUCAGUAGCCGGCCUGAGAGGGCGCAUGGCACACUGGAACUGAAACACGGUCCAGAAUCCUACGGGANGCAGC
rnacentral:rRNA from 1 species